GCGGGAUACGGGUGUCACACUUCUGGUGUCUGUGUUUUUUCUGGAAUGAGUCCAAACCUUUUUUUGGUCCAAUGGUGCUGCCGGAUCAACAUGGUCAGCCACCAGGUGGCAGACGAUCCGGUGCCUGGCACAUGCGCCAGUCUCAGAUGCUCCUGAGGGGGCAUAGUUAUCGUUACCCACCUGGUAGGGUCAUGCCCGACGCAUAUCAUAUGAUGGGAAUGCCCUUUGCCCCAGCCUCUAUCAACUGCCGCACUGACUUCUGCUCGAGCUAAUGCAACACCUGCCCAUCAGAGGACGUGAGGAUUUAUGCAGCAAAAGUGACUGGGAAAAUGCUUCUGGAGAUGGGCCAGACAGAGUUGUUGCAUCUGAUGGAAUCACCAGAUGCUUU